UCACUUUUUACUUUCCUUUUCAACCUAGCCUUAAUUUUACCGCAUUCUCUCUCUUCCCCAAUCUGCAAAAUCCGACGCCGACUGAUUUCUCCUCUAAUCUACGAAAUCCUACGCCGACUGAGAAGGAAUCGUGGAGCAUCUCCGGUGGAAGAGAUCUCUGGCGGAUGAUUCAUGGAUUCGGUUUAUUCAAUUGAAAAUAGGAAGAAAACCACAAAUCGUGAGGUUUGUGGUGAAGCGAGGAUUACACCGCAUUUGUUGACUUUGACUAUGCCUAGAUCUGCUGUAAAUUCCAAAAAUUCAGGUGCAUAAGUUUGUAACAAGGAGACUCGAACAACUUCUGAUUGACCAAAGGAAUAAGUCCAGAUGUAGUUCGUUCUGUUCUUGCAGAGCGUGGCAAGUUUCCUUGUCUGGCAGCCAGAUCUGCGGAUAAAGUAAGUGCAGUUGUUUUCUUGUUUCUACGUGCCUGACCAUGUUGCAACCAAGAUGUUGUAUAGCUGAUUAAGUUGUCUAUGUGUCAUGGUGGACAAAUAGUUGUCUAUUGAGAACUCAUUACCUGAUCCUGGUCUAAUAUGUUUGGGAUAUAAACAUAAUAUUAAGGGGUAAUUCUUUUUUA